AUGCACAUGCUGUGAGCUCGAUGAGUAGGGCGGGACACGUGGUAUCCUGUCUGAAUAUGGGGGGACCAUCCUCCAAGGCUAAAUACUCCUGACUGACCGAUAGUGAACCAGUACCGUGAGGGAAAGGCGAAAAGAACCCCGGCGAGGGGAGUGAAAAAGAACCUGAAACCGUGUACGUACAAGCAGUGGGAGCACGCUUAGGCGUGUGACUGCGUACCUUUUGUAUAAUGGGUCAGCGACUUAUAUUCUGUAGCAAGGUUAACCGAAUAGGGGAGCCGAAGGGAAACCGAGUCUUAACUGGGCGUUAAGUUGCAGGGUAUAGACCCGAAACCCGGUGAUCUAGCCAUGGGCAGGUUGAAGGUUGGGUAACACUAACUGGAGGACCGAACCGACUAAUGUUGAAAAAUUAGCGGAUGACUUGUGGCUGGGGGUGAAAGGCCAAUCAAACCGGGAGAUAGCUGGUUCUCCCCGAAAGCUAUUUAGGUAGCGCCUCGUGAAUUCAUCUCCGGGGGUAGAGCACUGUUUCGGCAAGGGGGUCAUCCCGACUUACCAACCCGAUGCAAACUGCGAAUACCGGAGAAUGUUAUCACGGGAGACACACGGCGGGUGCUAACGUCCGUCGUGAAGAGGGAAACAACCCAGACCGCCAGCUAAGGUCCCAAAGUCAUGGUUAAGUGGGAAACGAUGUGGGAAGGCCCAGACAGCCAGGAUGUUGGCUUAGAAGCAGCCAUCAUUUAAAGAAAGCGUAAUAGCUCACUGGUCGAGUCGGCCUGCGCGGAAGAUGUAACGGGGCUAAACCAUGCACCGAAGCUGCGGCAGCGACGCUGAUGCGUUGUUGGGUAGGGGAGCGUUCUGUAAGCCUGCGAAGGUGUGCUGUGAGG
rnacentral:rRNA from 1 species